rnacentral:rRNA from 1 species
UACAGAGGUCUCAAGCGUUGUUCGGAUUCAUUGGGCGUAAAGGGCGCGUAGGCGGCUUGGCAAGUGGAUGGUGAAAUCCCUCGGCUUAACCGAGGAACUGCCGUCCAAACUGCUUUGCUUGAGGCCGGGAGAGGCGAGUGGAAUUCCCAGUGUAGCGGUGAAAUGCGUAGAUAUUGGGAGGAACACCAGUGGCGAAGGCGGCUCGCUGGACCGGUUCUGACGCUGAUGCGCGAAAGCGUGGGAGCAAUGGG